UAGGGAAUAUUGCGCAAUGGGGGAAACCCUGACGCAGCGACGCCGCGUGAGUGAUGAAGGCUUUCGGGUUGUAAAGCUCUGUUCUCGGGGAAGAAAAAAAUGACGGUACCCGAGAAGAAAGGACCGGCUAACUUCGUGCCAGCAGCCGCGGUAAUACGAGGGGUCCUAGCGUUGCUCGGAAUCAUUGGGCGUAAAGCGGGUGUAGGUGGCUUAGUAAGUCAGGAGUGAAAGCCCUGGGCUCAACCCAGGAAGUGCUCUUGAAACUGCUUUGCUUGAGUGUAGGAGAGGGCAGUAGAAUUCCAGGUGUAGUGGUGAAAUACGUAGAUAUCUGGAGGAAUACCUGAGGGGAAGCCGGCUGCCUGGCCUAACACUGACACUCAGACCCGAAAGUGUGGGGAUCAAACA
rnacentral:rRNA from 1 species